AGCGAACGCUGGCGGCAGGCUUAACACAUGCAAGUCGAACGGGCAUCUUCGGAUGUCAGUGGCAGACGGGUGAGUACCACGUGGGAACGUACCCUUCGGUUCGGAAUAACUCAGGGAAACUUGAGCUAAUACCGGAUACGCCCUUUUGGGGAAAGGUUUACUGCCGCAGGAUCGGCCCGCGUCUGAUUAUCUUGUUGGUGGGGUAACGGCCUACCAAGGCGACGAUCAGUAGCUGGUAUGUGAGGAUGAUCAGCAACACUGGGACUGAGACCCGGCCCAGACCCCCAGGGAAGGGAGAAGGGGGGAAGAUUGGACAACGGGCGCAAGACUGAGCCAGCCAGGCCGCGAGAGUGAUGAAGGCCGUAGGGAUGUAAAGCUCUUUUGUCAGGGACGAUAAGAACGGUACCGGAAGAAUAAGCACCGGCAAACUUCGU
rnacentral:rRNA from 1 species